UCGUGCCGCUGGCCGGGCUGCUGCAGCGGCAGAGGCGGCGCGCGGGGCAGCCCCGGAGCCUCCUGCUUCCAGGCAGCGUGCACCGCUCUCAGCCUGAGCGCGCCACAGCAGCUGCAGGGCUCUGCACCCUUGUUAUUGGCUCUUACCAAUAGUGGCCCCAGGAGACCAGAUGGAUGGAGGGGGCAAAAGGUGUCAAGAGGAACAGGAUGAGUGGCACAACAAUUAUUUUUAUGCACUUGUUUAACAAGUAGCAUUUUACAUACCACAGGAGCUUCAGGUGGAGCUAUUCGGAGACCCUGCGAGAAGAUGCCAGCAAAGUUGGUAGCGCGGGAGCCAUGCCAGAGCAGCUGGCGAUUAUGAAGCUGUCUGAACGACUUGCUGGUUCCUGAAGAAAGAGAUGGGAAGACUUACAUUUUUAAUCUGAUAAAGCAGGAUUGUCUGAAGAACUCUCCUGGAAUCAAUGCUCAAGUUCUUUAAAAGCAGUAGAAUAGUUUUCAUCCUGUCUGAAGUCACACUGACAGAUUCCACCUGUAUAAAGCACACUGCUCUUCUAAAGCAAUGUUAGAAAGUCACUGCACUUUGACUUCCAGCUACACUGCACUUUACGUGAUCUAACCUGGGAACUAGUCAUCUACUGAGGUGACACCUGUCUUCUCCCCUGCCCCCACCAAACAGGUUGAAUGUGUUAGUUAUCCUGCUAGAAUUUUGGUGAGAGUUGCCUCCAUAAAUUAAAACCUGGACAAUUGUUUAUGAAUGAUA